CUGGUCAGACUUUACAUUACUAACUCUAAACUAACACAAUACCUGGUCAGACUUUACAUUACUAACCCUAAACUAACACAAUACCUGGUCAGAGUUUACAUUACUAACCCUAAACUAACACAAUACCUGGUCAGACUUUACAUUACUAACUCUAAACUAACACAAUACCUGGUCAGACUUUAAAUUACUAACUCUAAACUAACACAAUACCUGGUCAGACUUGACUAAUACUAACCCUAAAGUAACACAAUACCUGUUCUCCUGUCUACUGUCAUUACACCCAUCCUCAGAGGUCAGGAGUGUGGUAUCCACUCCCAACAGAAGUGUUAUCCUCUGGCCUUCGGCGUCCCUGCAGCCCUCAUGGUGGUGGCUCUCAGUGAGUACUGUUACCACUACAUGGAGGAGCUUCCGUCCUCUCCUUGCCUCUAUCAACCAUCAAUAUUGAUCUGAACUCUGUCUCUGUCUAGUUAACAGAGGUGGACGUCUUUCUGUGUUUCCACAGUCGUGUUCAUUAUGGGCAGUGGCAUGUACAACAAGACUGCUCCUAAAGGCAACAUUAUGCUGGAGGUCUGCAAGUGUAUCGGGGUAAGACAGUCUAAUAACACACAGACAGUAAGGGGG
rnacentral:lncRNA from 13 species